rnacentral:rRNA from 1 species
AAUAAGCGGAGGAAAAGAAACCAACAGGGAUUGCCCUAGUAACGGCGAGUGAAGCGGCAACAGCUCAAAUUUGAAAUCUGGCGCAAGCCCGAGUUGUAAUUUGUAGAGGAUGCUUCUAGGUAGCGACCGGUCUAAGUUCCUUGGAACAGGACGUCAUAGAGGGUGAGAAUCCCGUAUGUGACCGGCCCGCACCUUCUACGUAGCUCCUUCGAAGAGUCGAGUUGUUUGGGAAUGCAGCUCUAAAUGGGAGGUAAAUUUCUUCUAAAGCUAAAUACCGGCCAGAGACCGAUAGCGCACAAGUAGAGUGAUCGAAAGAUGAAAAGCACUUUGGAAAGAGAGUUAAAAAGCACGUGAAAUUGUUGAAAGGGAAGCGCUUACAACCAGACUUCUGGGCGGUGUUCCGCCGGUCUUUUGACCGGUCUACUCUCCGUCCCGAGGCCAACAUCAUCUGGGACCGCUGGAUAAGACCUUAGGAAUGUAGCUCCCCUCGGGGAGUGUUAUAGCCUCUGGUGAUGCAGCGCGUCCCGGGUGAGGUCCGCGCUUCGGCAAGGAUGUUGGCGUAAUGGUUGUCAGCGGCCCGUCUUGAAACACGGACCAAGGAGUCUAACAUCUAUGCGAGUGUUCGGGUGUCAAACCCCUACGCGUAAUGAAAGUGAACGGAGGUGGGAAGCGCAAGCUGCACCAUCGACCGAUCCUGAUGUCCUCGGAUGGAUUUGAGUAAGAGCAUAGCUGUUGGGACCCGAAAGAUGGUGAACUAUGCCUGAAUAGGGUGAAGCCAGAGGAAACUCUGGUGGAGGCUCGCAGCGGUUCUGACGUGCAAAUCGAUCGUCAAAUUUGGGUAUAGGGGCGAAAGAC